UACGUAGGGUCCGAGCGUUGUCCGGAUUUAUUGGGCGUAAAGAGCUCGUAGGCGGCUAAGUAAGUCAGAUGUGAAAACUCAGGGCUCAACCCGGAGACGCCAUCUGAUACUGCUGUGGCUUGAGUCUGGUAGGGGAUCACGGAAUUCCUGGUGUAGCGGUGAAAUGCGCAGAUAUCAGGAGGAACACCGAUGGCGAAGGCAGUGAUCUGGGCCAGUACUGACGCUGAGGUGCGAAAGCGUGGGGAGCAAACAGG
rnacentral:rRNA from 1 species